UUGAACCAAAAACAAACGUAGCAGAAGUUACAAAAUCGAGGAUAUCAUUUAUGCUUGAUUGAUUACAGUGGUUAUCAGUACAUGACAGGUUGUAUAGGUCAGCACAGCUAUUGAUAAUAUGUUACCAUCAUAUAUCGAUGAAUUCAUCCACUAUCGAAAUAGUACUCAUAAUUAUGAAACAAGGAAAAUCAAUGACUUUCAUCUACCAAGAUACCAGUCCACAAACAUGAGCAAUUUCAAGAAAGUAAUUCACAGUAAAGGUCGAGAAAACAUCUAUAAUUGUUAUAAGUUUGAGCUAACCGAGAAAGAUCGACAAGCUCUAACAAUUCCUAUAAGCAAUCUUCAAGAGAGAGAUACAAUAAAAACUACUAAACCAAUCUUCAACUCAGCCAGUGUGAACUUUGGACUAUUGCAAUUCGAUUAAAUAAUAAUAUCGUCUUAAUUAUCUUCUAAUAAAUUUAAAGCAAAUUAAUCAGGUACAGUUUACUUAUUAUACGAAGAUAAAAGGCAAAGUUCAAUUUACAUGAUGACAAGUCAUCAUUAAAAUGAAUAGUUGAAUCAAAAUUUUCAGUUUCCACUUGAAUAAUUUUGUGAUUUUUACUGUAUAAGCGACACACAGAUAUUUUCAAAGUCAUACUGUACCUAUCGAACCUCCUUUACAAGAGAAAAUCUACAGUAGUUUUUGAUUUUUAUACCUGCAAAUUUUAACGAAAUUUGACGAGGUAUUUUGAAAGUUUUCUUCUUGCACUUGAAACAAGUAAGUAAAUUUUUCAUCACAAACGAAUAUCUCCCUAAAUGAACUAAACCGAUCAUGUUUAUUACUUAUUACUUUCUGGUCGAUGAAUAUAACAAAUAAUUGAAAAAACAUGAAAAUGUUCAGUGAUAGACUUGUGAUUGAACGUUUCUUGAUGAAUUUCGUUCAUUAUUUGAAAGUCCAACCAUAACUUGUGUUGAACAAAAAAAGUCCCUUCCUUUUGACUAUUGAAUUUAUUAAAUGUCAUUUUACACAUUAAAAUGGAUCUUUAUAAGUGUAUAAUGAAAAAUGUACUAUGAAGCAAAUAAAUAGCAUAUUCACUA